rnacentral:lncRNA from 1 species
UUUACGCCAACAAAGCAAACCGAUCCGGAGGUCUUACCAUUAGGACCUAUUACCCGUUCUAAGGCAAAGAAAUUCAGGGAAGUCUUGUUCCUUACUUGUGCAACGAUUCCAGAUUCAUUCGAUCAUGUUCAUGCCUUUGAACAUAGGCUUUAUAACAUGUUGCAUGCUGAUAUGUGACAUAUCUCUGUUAUAUUACUAGUUCAUGCGUUUAAGUAUGUAUAUGUUAUGCUAAGUACGUUUCUGCAAUUGGGUUGAUAGUAUUUGUAUUGUUUCUAAGUUGUUUCUAAAUUGUAAGUGUGUUAAAGAAUAAGAAUUGCAAGUGUUCCAGCUUGUAAUUGUGAUUUCCAUUAAAUUUACAAGACUUUGAUGGAAGUUUGAUAUGUUUUGAUAUAGGUACAAUAAUGGACAGCAGCUUAAGGCCUCAUUUCUAGCUCGGUUGAAGCUCAAAUAUGUGCGUGCAGCUCCUCUCAGCUCGAAAUAGUUCUGAAAGUUCGUUUCCAGCUCAUUUCAGCUCAGUACAUUUCCAGCUAGCUCAAUUUCAGCUCCACCAGCUCAACUCUAGAUAACAAGUCCAGAUGUAGCUGGAAGGUGUCCUACGUGUCGGGGAGUGUCCCAUACACAUGUGGCAGCCUAGGUGGCAUUCCAGUAUGUACAGCACACACGUAACAGCCUUGACACAUGUGUGUGCAUGUGUGGCCGAAAUCAGCCCUCUUCUCUACAUAUGACGCCAAAUUCAAAGGGAUAAGAACAAGAGUUCAAAUGUUUGACUUUCAAACGUUUUGGAUAAGAACAAGAGUUCAAAUAUUUGAAUUUCAAACGUUUCACACAUAUUCAAUGUGUGGCUGGUAUUUGAUGGCGCCAAGAGAGGAUAUAACUCCUUCAUAUUCAAAUUUGAAUUCUUUAUUUACAGCCACUAAUUCAAAUUCGACAACCCC